rnacentral:rRNA from 1 species
UACGUAGGUGGCGAGCGUUGUCCGGAUUUACUGGGCGUAAAGAGCCCGCAGGCGGCCUGGCAAGUUCUGGGUGAAAUCUCCCGGCUCAACUGGGAGGGUGCCUAGAAAACUAUCAGGCUUGAGGCAUGGAGAGGGAUGCGGAAUUCCCGGUGUAGCGGUGAAAUGCGUAGAUAUCUGGAGGAAUACCGGUGGCGAAGGCGGCAUCCUGGACCGACAUUGACGCUGAUGAGCGAAAGCUAGGGGAGCAAACGGG